GUCCCACAGGUAGCAGGGGAGCUGUGGUGCUCCUGAAUGCCGUAACGACUGCAUGGAGAUGUAUGGGUCUUCAUGGGAACAGCAAGGAACCUGAAUCUGCAUUUCCUGAAAUGCCCCGGAACCUCGCUUUGCUGGCUGGUAAUUGUCUGCCCAGCAGGUGGCAGCAGAGUUGCGUUGCUCCUGAGCACUUUAAGGACAGCACGGAGAUGCGCGGCUCUUCAGGCAGCAGCAAGGAACCGGAAUCUGCAUUUCCUGGGAUGCCCGGAACCCCGCUUUGCUGGCCGGUAAUUGUCUGCCCAGCAGGUGAAGAUGCCUUGGACGCUUCCAGUCGAUGACUUCCCCCCUGCGACGCCAUCAGCUUUCCAGGCCUCCCACACUCACCGCCAGCUCGGUUCGGUCAACCGUUACCCGAAUCCCCGCUCCGUUCCCUUUCCAUGAUCUUCCCGUCACUCUGCCACAAGCCCCUACCAAGGUCAUCGCAGGCAGCGUGUGGGAUGCGGCGCUCGGUCUCAUUGCAGUUCAUCCCAUCGGCCUCAGCCCAGCGAUCCAACCCACCCGCACCCUUCCUGAGGGCCCUUCUGCUCCCAGGCCAAUCAACGCUUCCUUCUGAUGCCAUCUGAGUUCCCUCCAGGCCAUUUUCAGACUCGUGCCCCUUUGUGGCCAUUUUGAGAGUUGUGCUGAUUUCAGCAUGUCCAUUCAAUUGACUUCAACCAAAUUGGCUUUAGCUUGACAUUCAAUUAAUGUAAACCAAAUUGGCUUUAGCUUUACAUUCAAUUGACUUCAACCAAAUUGGCUUUAGUUUUACAUUCAAUUAAUGUAAGCCAUAUUGGCUUUAGCUUUGCCUUGGUUACGGGGUUGGGUUAGCCUUGCUUUGUUUGUUCCUAGGCAGGGCUACCCCAACCCCGUAACCAAGGGACGUUGGAGGCGAUUUUGUUCCUCCCGGCCAGUCUGAGACUCACGCCCCAUUGCGGCCAUUUUGAGAGUUGCUCUGAUUUCAGCAUCUGCGUUCAAUUUAUCUCAACCAAAUUGGCUUUAGCCUUGCAAUCAUUUUGCAUCAACCAAAUUGGCUUUAGCUUUGCAUUCAAUUGGCUUCAACCAAAUUGGCUUUAGCUUUACAUGCAAUUGACUUCAACCAAAUUGGCUUUGGCUU